rnacentral:rRNA from 1 species
AUAAGAGGUCCAGCCUGCCCAGUGACUUUGUUCAACGGCCGCGGUAUCCUAACCGUGCGAAGGUAGCGUAAUAACUUGUUCUUUAAAUAAGGACUAGUAUGAAUGGCACCACGAAGGUUAUACUGUCUCCUUUUUUUAAUCAGUGAAACUAAUCUCCUCGUGAAGAAGCGAGGAUAUAAAUAUAAGACGAGAAGACCCUAUGGAGCUUUAAACAACAUGGCACUUAUUACACAAAUUUUUUACUUAAAUCUUUUUAAUGAUAUGACCAUAAGUUUUUGGUUGGGGUGACCACGGGGCAUAAUAAAACCCCCAUGUUGAAAUCUUUUUAAGCCAAGAACAACACAUCUAAGCAUCAACAUUUUGACAUUCAUUGACCCAAUAUACUUGAACAACGAACCAAGUUACCCUAGGGAUAACAGCGCAAUCCACUUCAAGAGCCCCUAUCGACAAGUGGGU